CGGACGUUGCUCUUGGUAGCAAUCAUGUAUUGCCCAUUUUGCGGGGCUUCACUUGACAGUUGCCCGUCAUUCUGCAGCAAAUGUGGAAAAAACAUAACGUUUCUGAAAGGCAAAGUUCCUGAUGGAAAUGAGCCCAGCACCAGUGGAGGAAAAACAGAAACAAGUUCUGUGGAUUGCUUUAUGAAGUUCAGGGCAAUAAAGGAGAAGGAGAGGAAAACCUUUUUUACAAAGAAAAGUCAUGCCUCAAAGAAGGAUAAAGAAGUAAAGGUAACUUAUACAUCCAUCUAAUUUACAUUGGAAGUAUGGAAAGACAUUGUGGUGUCCUAAAGCCCCUGAAAGGGAAACGGCUGCCUCUUGAAGUUGAAACAAACUGGACAUCUGAGCAAGUGUUAAUAGCUGGCCAAAAGAAAGUAAAAGAUUUUAAUCAGGACAUGGAAGAUGGGCCUUAUGUUUUACUGUACCCAGAUGGUUCAGAGGUUAAGAAUAUUCCAGGAACAAACACCCCUUUUAAACUACAGCUGUACAAAGAGGCAAUUGGGAAGGCUUACCAAAGAAUAACACUGUAUAUAUGCACAGUUGAAGACUUUUUUGCCACUGACUGUAAUGAGGAUUCCUCAAGUGAAGACAGUGUAGUGCAAGUAAAAUUUACCUCUCACAGUCAACAUGAUGAGAAUGACACUUUGAUAUGGGAUAGUGCGGAUGAAGCAGGAAGCAGCUCACACCAACCACCUGAUCACUCUUUGCCUGUUCAGGAACA
ensembl:processed_transcript